AGGCUUAACACAUGCAAGUCGAGGGGCAGCAUGGAAGAAGCUUGCUUCUUCUGAUGGCGACCGGCGCACGGGUGCGUAACGCGUAUCAAACCUGCCUCAUACUCGGGGAUAGCCUUGCGAAAGUAAGAUUAAUACCCGAUGUUGUUAUGUUACCGCAUGGUGAUAUAACCAAAGAUUUAUCGGUAUGAGAUGGUGAUGCGUCCGAUUAGGUAGUAGGCGGGGUAACGGCCCACCUAGCCUUCGAUCGGUAGGGGUUCUGAGAGGAAGGUCCCCCACACUGGAACUGAGACACGGUCCAGACUCCUACGGGAGGCAGCAGUGAGGAAUAUUGGUCAAUGGACGAAAGUCUGAACCAGCCAAGUAGCGUGCAGGAUGACGGCCCUCUGGGUUGUAAACUGCUUUUAGUUGGGAAUAAAAAAGAGGACGUGUCCUCUAUUGUAUGUACCUUCAGAAAAAGGACCGGCUAAUUCCGUGCCAGCAGCCGCGGUAAUACGGAAGGUCCAGGCGUUAUCCGGAUUUAUUGGGUUUAAAGGGAGCGUAGGCUGGAGAUUAAGUGUGUUGUGAAAUGUAGACGCUCAACGUCUGACUUGCAGCGCAUACUGGUUUCCUUGAGUACGCACAACGUUGGCGGAAUUCGUCGUGUAGCGGUGAAAUGCUUAGAUAUGACGAAGAACUCCGAUUGCGAAGGCAGCUGACGGGAGCGCAACUGACGCUUAAGCUCGAAGGUGCGGGUAUCAAACAGGAUUAGAUACCCUGGUAGUCCGCACAGUAAACGAUGGAUGCCCGCUGUUGGUACCUGGUAUCAGCGGCUAAGCGAAAGCAUUAAGCAUCCCACCUGGGGAGUACGCCGGCAACGGUGAAACUCAAAGGAAUUGACGGGGGCCCGCACAAGCGGAGGAACAUGGUGGAGGUCGNUANUUCGAUGAUACGCGAGGAACCUUACCCGGGCUUGAAUUGCAGGAGCAGUGGAGGUCGCUAGA
rnacentral:rRNA from 1 species